rnacentral:rRNA from 1 species
CCUGAGAAACCCAAAAGAUCGAAUAGGGAGAUUCAUCGUCAGCUCAUUUUGUAUAUAUAUGAGUUAUGAUGCGAGUUACUACUUGUAGUAUUGCUUGCACAUUCUUAUAUAUUUAAUUGCAUUAUGUUGUCGGCGUGCACUUCUCCUUUAGUAGAACGUCGCGACUCAUUGUUUGUUGGUUUACGGCCCAAGUUAUUAGUCUUUAAUAUUUUAUUAUAUUAAAAAUUCUUGGUGCUUUCUAACCGGCUAUACAGUGGUAUUCAUAUGGUAAUAAGCCGCAAUUAUAUGCGUCCCGUUUCCAUCGCAAGCAAGGCCAAUUUUUGGUAGUACGGACCAAGUGCCGUCGCUAGUAUUGGUCAGCUGUUGGCUGUUAUGGUAUUCUUGGACUGGCUGAAAAAAAAUAAUUACCGGUUAGCGAUGCUAUUGCUUUGGGUACUUUCAGG